AGUGAACGCUGGCGGUAGGCCUAACACAUGCAAGUCGAACGGCAGCACGGUAAGAGCUUGCUCUUACGGGUGGCGAGUGGCGGACGGGUGAGGAAUACAUCGGAAUCUACUUUUUCGUGGGGGAUAACGUAGGGAAACUUACGCUAAUACCGCAUACGACCUACGGGUGAAAGCAGGGGAUCUUCGGACCUUGCGCGAUUGAAUGAGCCGAUGUCGGAUUAGCUAGUUGGCGGGGUAAAGGCCCACCAAGGCGACGAUCCGUAGCUGGUCUGAGAGGAUGAUCAGCCACACUGGAACUGAGACACGGUCCAGACUCCUACGGGAGGCAGCAGUGGGGAAUAUUGGACAAUGGGCGCAAGCCUGAUCCAGCCAUACCGCGUGGGUGAAGAAGGCCUUCGGGUUGUAAAGCCCUUUUGUUGGGAAAGAAAAGCAGCAGGUUAAUACCCCGCUGUUCUGGCGGUACCCAAAGAAUAAGCACCGGCUAACUUCGUG
rnacentral:rRNA from 1 species